rnacentral:rRNA from 1 species
AGAGUUUGAUCCUGGCUCAGGACGAACGCUGGCGGCGUGCUUAACACAUGCAAGUCGAACGAUGAACCACUUCGGUGGGGAUUAGUGGCGAACGGGUGAGUAACACGUGGGCAAUCUGCCCUGCACUCUGGGACAAGCCCUGGAAACGGGGUCUAAUACCGGAUACUGACCCUCGCAGGCAUCUGCGAGGUUCGAAAGCUCCGGCGGUGCAGGAUGAGCCCGCGGCCUAUCAGCUUGUUGGUGAGGUAAUGGCUCACCAAGGCGACGACGGGUAGCCGGCCUGAGAGGGCGACCGGCCACACUGGGACUGAGACACGGCCCAGACUCCUACGGGAGGCAGCAGUGGGGAAUAUUGCACAAUGGGCGAAAGCCUGAUGCAGCGACGCCGCGUGAGGGAUGACGGCCUUCGGGUUGUAAACCUCUUUCAGCAGGGAAGAAGCGAAAGUGACGGUACCUGCAGAAGAAGCGCCGGCUAACUACGUGCCAGCAGCCGCGGUAAUACGUAGGGCGCAAGCGUUGUCCGGAAUUAUUGGGCGUAAAGAGCUCGUAGGCGGCUUGUCACGUCGGUUGUGAAAGCCCGGGGCUUAACCCCGGGUCUGCAGUCGAUACGGGCAGGCUAGAGUUCGGUAGGGGAGAUCGGAAUUCCUGGUGUAGCGGUGAAAUGCGCAGAUAUCAGGAGGAACACCGGUGGCGAAGGCGGAUCUCUGGGCCGAUACUGACGCUGAGGAGCGAAAGC